rnacentral:rRNA from 1 species
CCUACGGGGGGCAGCAGUGGGGAAUAUUGGGCAAUGGGCGCAAGCCUGACCCAGCAACGCCGCGUGAAGGAAGAAGGCUUUCGGGUUGUAAACUUCUUUUCUUAGGGACGUAGCAAGUGACGGUACCUGAGGAAUAAGCCACGGCUAACUACGUGCCAGCAGCCGCGGUAAUACGGAGGUGGCAAGCGUUAUCCGGAUUUACUGGUUGUAAAGGGCGAGUAGGCGGGAAAGCAAGUCAGAUGUGAAAACCAUGGGCUCAACCUGUGGCCUGCAUUUGAAACUGUUUUUCUUGAGUACUGGAGAGGCAGACGGAAUUCCUAGUGUAGCGGUGAAAUGCGUAGAUAUUAGGAGGAACACCAGUGGCGAAGGCGGUCUGCUGGACAGCAACUGACGCUGAGGCGCGAAAGCGUGGGGAGCAAACAGGAUUAGAUACCCCUGUAGUC